CAGCGAGCAGCUGGAUCUGAGCUGGGGCCGACACCGGGUGCAGCAGAACGCCACAUACAAGAGGCGCCGGCCACUCCACGUGGACUCUGGGGCUGUGUGAGCUGCCCAGGGACCUCUCUGUCUCCGGCGCGCUCAGCCUGGGCCCCGGGCAGCUCCUGCUGCGUUCCCACUGCCAUCUGGGCCUCGCUCCGGACUUGGACCAUGGCCUGAAUCUCAGCCUGACCCUCUACAACCACAGCAGGCCCCAUGCAUCUGACUUCUCUGGGGAGCUGGAACUCCGAGGCCCCACGGCCCAGUGGGUUGGCCUGCAGGGUUGGCUCUCCACCUCAGCUUCCCAAACCCUGGCCCAGCUGGAGGGCAGCACGAACAGAGCAGAGGAGAAGAGAAGGUGAGGCUGGCUGUGUCACGCAUCCCCAGCUGCCUCCAAGCCUCCGUGGCCCCCGAGGAUGGUACCAUUGCUCCCGACAUGGGCUGUUAUACAGAAGAUAUUUAAAGACUCCAACGAUGCAACUACAAACCAACCUGGUUCACAAUGGCCCAAAGGACUGAAAGAGACGGUUCUCCAAAAAUAAAUAAAUAAAU
rnacentral:lncRNA from 1 species